rnacentral:tRNA from 1 species
CUGGCUUUAGUUUAAUUUAGAAUGAGGGUUUUGGGGAUCUUCGGUCUCAGGUUUGAGAGGUUUGA